AGAACGAACGCUGGCGGCGUGGAUAAGACAUGCAAGUCGAACGGGACUUAUUUUGUAGCAAUACAAGGUAAGUUCAGUGGCGUAAGGGUGCGUAACACGUGGGGAAUCUGCCGAGAAGUGGGGGAUAGCUCGCCGAAAGGCGAAUUAAUACCGCAUGUGACCAGGAAGGACAUCCUUCCGACGUCAAAGCCGGGGCAACCUGGCGCUUCUUGAUGACCCCGCGGCCUAUCAGCUAGUUGGUAAGGUAACGGCUUACCAAGGCUAUGACGGGUAGCUGGUCUGAGAGGACGACCAGUCACACUGGAACUGAGACACGGUCCAGACACCUACGGGUGGCAGCAGUCGAGAAUUUUUCUCAAUGGGGAAACCCUGAAGGAGCGACGCCGCGUGGAGGAUGAAGGUCUUCGGAUUGUAAACUCCUGUCUAGUUGGAACAACUGUCAACUACCGUUAACUGCGUGGGCUUGAUAGUACCGAAGAGAAGAGACGCUAACUCUGUGCCAGCAGCCGUA
rnacentral:rRNA from 1 species